CUAAGUUUGAUGGCGACCGGCGCACGGGUGAGUAACACGUAUCCAACCUGCCGAUGACUCGGGGAUAGCCUUUCGAAAGAAAGAUUAAUACCCGAUGGCAUAGUUCUUCCGCAUGGUAGAACUAUUAAAGAAUUUCGGUCAUCGAUGGGGAUGCGUUCCAUUAGGUUGUUGGCGGGGUAGCGGCCCACCAAGCCUUCGAUGGAUAGGGGUUCUGAGAGGAAGGUCCCCCACAUUGGAACUGAGACACGGUCCAAACUCCUACGGGAGGCAGCAUG
rnacentral:rRNA from 1 species